CAAAAGGCAAAAUUGUGAGGUUUUUCGUGGAGAACGCAUUGGAGAGAUUGAAAACUGAUUUGGAGCAUUCGAUUCAGAGGCUAUCUUGUGUGGAAAUUUAAGGAGAACAUCGUGGAAGUUUCAGAAUCUGUUUUUGGCACGUCGUUCGAGUUUGGCAGCGUUCCGAGGUCGUUCAAAAGUGAAAAGCUCCAGCACAGUAAUUUGAAGCUCGUGUGUUUAG